rnacentral:lncRNA from 1 species
AGAUGCUGGCAGGGCUGGUGUGAGGCUGCCCAGGGGUGGGUGAGUGCACCGCCUUUCCACCCUAGGGUCCGUUAUCCCUAGACCAGCGCCCAGAUUGCGGGGUCGUGGGCGUUGGACACUGUGCAGCCAUGAGGAUCUGGUUGGGCGGAGAUUCCCGCCCUCCUGCGGCUGAGAGGCCAACCUCCUAACGCGCUGCAGUGACCUCUGGCUCUACGGUCCGCGCUCCUGCUGGAGCUGGCAGAGACCAGAGCUGCCACCGCUGCUGCUUCCAGGAGUGUGCAGGUGGCAGCUGCCGCUGAGCCCGCGGCGGAGGAUGGCAGGGCUUGUUCCAGAAGGCUUGAGGGUCCCCGAGUGCACCGCCCUCCCACCAAUUUCUGGUUUUUCCUGUUGGAGCCCAAGGAGCAAGGGCAGAAUGAGGAACAUGAUGUUUCUUACCGACAGUUACUCAUGACGUCUCCAUCCAGGACUGAGGGGGGCAUCCUUCUCCAUCUAGGACUGGGGGCAUCCUUCUCCAUCCAGUAUUGGGGG